CAGCCUAUUUUCCGCUUUGAGGCAAACCUUGACCUGACCCUGCGGGCCUCUCAGGAGGCGCUGGCCUUGAGCCGCCGCCAGAGGGGGGCCUCUGCCUCUGCCACUGCCCUGGUGGUGGUUAAGACCCCUGAGCUGGUGCGCUCUGAGGCAAGAGACAGGGUGGUGCAGAAGGGAGGUAACCCCACCGAUCACCAUCAGGCUGUUCCCGCCGAUGGUGGCAGCCAUCGACAGGCGUAGGAUGCUCGAGGGCAGUCCCCAGACCAUGAGGGGCGUGGACGACACGCUGGUGGGGUUCGGUGUUCAUAGUGACCUGACCUACAAGACCCUGUACGAGUCGACGGACCGUGAGCGGGCAAGCUAUGUACAGUUUGUGAGGCAGGCGGCACCCACAGCCAAAGCGUCCAGGUUGGUGGACUUAAAAAAAUAUGUGCAGGCCCGGGAUGCAGAGAAGGCAGCCCUGGCAGCACAACCACCACAACCACCCCUGGACGCUGUUGGU